rnacentral:SRP_RNA from 11 species
GAAGGUCAGCGCCGUCAUGCUCCAGAGGAAGCUUGCGAGGCUGGCAGCAAAAGCCACGGAGCUCCCCCCCGUCUCUCUCGGGUGGAGGGAGGACGCGCCGUACCCCACCAGGA